UACGUAGGGGCAAGCGUUGUCCGGAAUCAUUGGGCGUAAAGAGCGCGUAGGCGGUCCGGUAAGUCGGUUGUGAAAACUGGGGCUCAACCCUCAGAGGCCGACCGAUACUGUCGGGCUAGAGUCCGGAAGAGGCGAGUGGAAUUCCUGGUGUAGCGGUGAAAUGCGCAGAUAUCAGGAGGAACACCAAUGGCGAAGGCAGCUCGCUGGGACGGUACUGACGCUGAGGCGCGAAAGCGUGGGGAGCAAACAGG
rnacentral:rRNA from 1 species